GGCCCCAUCGUUUAAUGGUUAGGACACCGGGUUCUCAUCCCGGCAAUGGGAGUUCGAUUCUCCCUGGGGUCACCA
rnacentral:tRNA from 2 species